rnacentral:rRNA from 1 species
GACGAACGCUGGCGGCGUGCUUAACACGUGCAAGUCGAACGGAAAGGCCCUGCUUUUGUGGGGUGCUCGAGUGGCGAACGGGUGAGUAACACGUGAGUAACCUGCCCUUGACUUUGGGAUAACUUCAGGAAACUGGGGCUAAUACCGGAUAGGAGCUCCUGCUGCAUGGUGGGGGUUGGAAAGUUUCGGCGGUUGGGGAUGGACUCGCGGCUUAUCAGCUUGUUGGUGGGGUAGUGGCUUACCAAGGCUUUGACGGGUAGCCGGCCUGAGAGGGUGACCGGCCACAUUGGGACUGAGAUACGGCCCAGACUCCUACGGGAGGCAGCAGUGGGGAAUAUUGCACAAUGGGCGGAAGCCUGAUGCAGCAACGCCGCGUGCGGGAUGACGGCCUUCGGGUUGUAAACCGCUUUCGCCUGUGACGAAGCGUGAGUGACGGUAACGGGUAAAGAAGCACCGGCUAACUACGUG